rnacentral:rRNA from 1 species
AACGAACGCUGGCGGCGUGCCUAACACAUGCAAGUCGAACGCGAAAGGGGGCAACCCCCGGUAGCGUGGCAGACGGGUGAGUAACACGUGGGUAACCUACCCGGAGGUGGGGGAUAACCCUUCGAAAGGAGGGCUAAUACCGCAUGACACCGUGAGGACCUCGGUCCUUGCGAUCAAAGCUGGCCUCUGUUUACAAGCUAGCGCCACCGGAUGGGCCCGCGCCCCAUUAGCUAGUUGGUGAGGUAACGGCUCACCAAGGCGACGAUGGGUAGCCGGCCUGAGAGGGCGAUCGGCCACACUGGAACUGCGACACGGUCCAGACUCCUACGGGAGGCAGCAGUGAGGAAUCUUGCGCAAUGGGCGAAAGCCUGACGCAGCGACGCCGCGUGGAGGAUGAAGGUCUUCGGGUUGUAAACCUCUUUCAGCUCCGACGAAGCGAGAGUGACGGUAGGAGCAGAAGAAGCACCGGCCAACUACGUGCC